CCCGACUUUAUGGAAGGGUGGUAUUUAUUAGACUGAAGCCAAUAUUCCUUGUGUCUAUUGCGGUGAUUCAUAAUAACUGAUCGAAUCUCUUUUUGAGAUAAAUCAUUCAAGUUUCUGCCCUAUCAGCUUUCGAUGGUAGUGUAUUGGACUACCAUGGCAGUAACGGGUAACGAAGAAUUAGGGUUCGAUUUCGGAGAGGGAGCAUGAGAAACGGCUACCACAUCUAAGGAAGGCAGCAGGCGCGUAAAUUACCCAAUCCUGACUCAGGGAGGUAGUGACAAGAAAUAGCAAACCGGGAACCUCAUGGUUUCACGGUAUUGCAAUGAGAACAAUUUAAAACCCUUAGCGAGAAUCAAGUGGAGGACAAGUCUGGUGCCAGCACCCGCGGUAAUUCCAGCUCCACUAGCGUAUAUUAAAGUUGUUGCAGUUAAAAAGCUCGUAGUUGAACCUCUGUCUGGGGCUAGUUUUGGCUUUGGUCAGGCUAGUUCUAGGCAUCCGCCUACAAGACUUAGAGGGCAUUCAGUUGUUCACUAGGAGGAGUAGGCAUUUUACUUUGAAAAAAUUAGAGUGUUUAAGGCAGGCAAUCGCCCGCAUAUAUUAGCAUGGAAUAAUAGAAUAGGACACUUUUCCAUUUCGUUGGUUAUUGGAAUCGUGUAAUGAUUAAUAGGGACAGUUGUGGGCAUUUGUAUUUAAUUGUCAGAGGUGAAAUUCUUGGAUUUAUUAAAGACAAACUAACGCGAAAGCAUUUGCCAAGGAUGUUUUCAUUAAUCAAGAACGAAAGUUAGGGGAUCAAAGACGAUCAGAUACCGUCCUAGUCUUAACUAUAAACUAUUCCGACUCAAUGUUUGACUGGCUUAUAUAACCAGUUGAGCGUUGUAUGAGAAAUCAAAGUCUUUAGGUUCUGGGGGGAGUAUGGUUGCAAAGCUGAAACUUAAAGGAAUUGACGGAAGAGCACAACCAGGAGUGGAUUCUGCGGCUUAAUUUGACUCAACACGGGGAAACUUACCAGGUUAAAACAAUAGUGGGAUUGACAGUUUGAGAGCGCUUUCUUGAUUGGUUGGGUGGUGGUGCAUGGCCGUUCUUAGUUGGUGGAGUGAUUUGUCUGCUUAAUUGCGUUAACGAACGAGACCUUAACCUGCUUACUAGACUGGCGAUCAUCAAUCGUUAGCUCUUCUUAGAGGGACUUUGGUUGUUUUAACUCCAAGGAAGUUUGAGGCAAUAACAGGUCUGUGAUGCCCUUAGAUAUCCUGGGCCGCACGCGUCAUACAAUGACUAGUUCAGAAAGUUUUCUCCUGACCCGAAAGGGGAUGGGUAAUCUUGAUAAUACUAGUCGUGUUAGGGAUCGAUCUUUG
rnacentral:rRNA from 1 species